rnacentral:rRNA from 1 species
AGUGAACGCUGGCGGUAGGCCUAACACAUGCAAGUCGAACGGAAGCACAGUAAGAGCUUGCUCUUACGGGUGGCGAGUGGCGGACGGGUGAGGCAUACAUCGGAAUCUACUUUUUCGUGGGGGAUAACGUAGGGCCACUUACGCUAAUACCGCAUACGAUCUACGGGUGAAAGCAGGGGAUCUUCGGACCUUGCGCGAUUGAUUGAGCCGAUGUCGGAUUAGCUAGUUGGCGGGGUAAAGGCCCACCAAGGCGACGAUACGUAGCUGGUCUGAGAGGAUGAUCGGCCACACUGGAACUGAGACACGGUCCAGACUCCUACGGGAGGCAGCAGUGGGGAAUAUUGGACAAUGGGCGCAAGCCUGAUCCAGCCAUACCGCGUGAGUGAAGAAGGCCUUCGGGUUGUAAAGCCCUGUUGUUGGGAAAGAAAAGCAGCAUGUUAAUACCCCGCUGUUCUGACGGUACCCAAAGAAUAAGCACCGGCUAACUUCGUG